rnacentral:misc_RNA from 1 species
GACAGCAUUGCUUUCUUUUUACUUCUUUUAUUGCUUCUGUUGGUGCUGCGGCCGGCGGCGUCUUCACAAGUAUCCAACGUAAGAGAGAAAGCGGACAAACUUCCUCCCUCACCCCCGCUCACUCCAGCACGGCGAGUCUCUGGUGGUGAAUCACACAUUACACGGUCUUUUGCCCCCCCCCCCCGAAUAGCUUCAUAGAAUUCCCUCUCCCUUUCCCCUUCACGCGUAGUCGCUGGAGGUGGUGAAAGGAGCGCUCGUGCGCCUUAACACACACGCACGAUGUUGUCGGAGGAAGAGCGGGCGACGCUUCUCAAGUACUACUCAACGGUGAAGCUCAAUGAGACUCAGCUGGACCAGCUUGCCCAGGCAUACUGGGCGGCGACGCGUGAGGAGAGAGGGGAGAUUGCCAAGGUGUAUGCCCACACCUUCGUAGACCCCACGUUUGUGCAACGACUCAUCUUCUUCCAUGACUACCACAUGCCCCUCACGGCCGCCGGUGCAGACCUGUCUUCGCCAGCAGGGGCAGCCGCAGGAACCAGCUCCUCCUUCGCGGGUCAGCAGAGCGGCAGCGAGAGCGGCAACUCUCCUCUCAUGGCGAGCCCCACCUCGUCUUUCAUGGCUGGGAGUCAAACGACGGCAGCGAGCCACGCACCACGCCGCACGCACGCCCAGCGCCUGCUCCGCUCCACCAUUCAAGAGCACUUCCCCAAGCUCACCGGUCCUGGACCGUACGCGCUGCAGUUCGGAUGUGUGCGGUCGGAGAAGGAACGCGAAGAGGUGAUUGAGCUGUACUCUUCGCAAUUUCUGCACCCCGACCCACCCGAGCUGCACCGCAUCGUCACACUGCCGAGCAGCUUUUCCACCCGCACUCGAAAGCGAAUCAGCGGCUCCUACUCCUGGUACCUGCGCUGCCUUGCAACGCAGGAGCUCGUUUGCGCCGUCACUGUGACGGUGCAUCAGCAGGAAACAAUACGGUUUGCCGAGAUGCCGCUGUUUGCAACGGGUGUUGGGUACAAGAAGAACGGCUUUGGGCGCCUUCUGAACGCGGCGCUGUUGGCCUGGUGCGCGGAGGUGGGGCUGGAGUUCAUCAUGAUCUCUGCUGACGUGCAGGCGAUCCCGUUCUGGCGCCACUUGGGCUAUCGUGCCAUGACACGCGGAGAGAAGAACCGAAUCGACUUUUUUUACCAGCACGACUGCUGCAAGUUCAAGGGCGCCGAGACGAUGAUCGGGUAUUGCAACGUUGAUCGGGGAAACGGCACCCUCUCCGGUGGCGCACGUCGUCGCGCUUCCCACAGCGGCGGCUCGGCGGAGGUGCUACAUAUGAGCGUCAGGCAGGUUUUGGCGCAACUACCUCGCUUUGCCGUGGAAGGCCCCGCCAAGUUACCAACUGAGUAGGGGAUACACCGGAAGAGAAAAGGCACGGAAAAGAGCUGCUGGACUGGUGAGGCAUGGCGACUCGCGAUACCAGAGCGCCAUGGAUCGUGAAAUCCUUGACGCGCUGCGUGAUUGCCGUUGUCGGUUGAACCAAAUGCGGUGGCUAUGUAUUUGUCUCUCAGUGCUCUCGUUUUGUGUGUGGAAGUGCCACUGCGAACACGCUCGGUCGAUGUUUAAGCUGCUAUGCACUGCAUCCACGUUUUAAAAAAAAAUGAAAGAGAAAGGGCCAUGCAGCCCAACGCCAUCGACAACGAUGCAGG